CGUUUCUGUAGCAGAGUGAAAGCUUCCUUCUACCGUUUAAGUACCUUGUUGAUAACUCAGCCAGAAGCACACCCACCAGUUGGAAUCCAGGACUUUGCAGCCAGAGCCCUCCAACCCAAACAGGAAAUAGAAGCUCAAGAAAGUUCCUCUCCUUGAGCCUCUGCUGGGCCAGAAGUACAGCCUGCACUUUAGGUUUUCACUGGCUUUCUGUGUUCCUUCUUCUGGCUGAAAUCUCCAAGAAGAGCUGGCUCUGGAGUUUCAGACCUCCUGGAAUCCUUCUCUUUCAAAGUGGAACAGCAGGCUCAGGAUCAGUCUUUUCAGGCAUGGUGAUGAACGGCAUGAUCCAACAGGAGCCUUCAGACCAGAACAAUACACCCUGUGGGAAUGAAGACGAAAAGACACACAAAGAGAAAGGUGCAGAAGAGGUGAAAGACUUAACCAUAUGCACCAAUGUCCAGCCAGCCCCCUUUGCUGAGAGGAAGAACGGUGAGUCCCUUUUCCAUUCCAGUAAGAAAAGGGAGAACUGUCUGAGCAAGAUCAUGCUUGAUGACAGCUGUGGAGUGGUGCUAAUGCAGGUUAGGAUUUAAGUGGAUGGGAACUGUUUUACUCUAAGUUUUUGGAAGAUGCUUUGG
rnacentral:lncRNA from 1 species